rnacentral:rRNA from 1 species
AACGAACGCUGGCGGCAUGCCUAACACAUGCAAGUCGAACGAGACCUUCGGGUCUAGUGGCGCACGGGUGCGUAACGCGUGGGAACCUGCCCUUAGGUUCGGAAUAACUCCCCGAAAGGGAUGCUAAUACCGGAUAAUGUCUUCGGACCAAAGAUUUAUCGCCUUUGGAUGGGCCCGCGUUGGAUUAGCUAGUUGGUAGGGUAAAAGCCUACCAAGGCGACGAUCCAUAGCUGGUCUGAGAGGAUGAUCAGCCACACUGGGACUGAGACACGGCCCAGACUCCUACGGGAGGCAGCAGUGGGGAAUAUUGGACAAUGGGCGAAAGCCUGAUCCAGCAAUGCCGCGUGAGUGAUGAAGGCCUUAGGGUUGUAAAGCUCUUUUACCCGGGAUGAUAAUGACAGUACCGGGAGAAUAAGCUCCGGCUAACUCCGCG